UCGCAUUGGUCUCAAACCAAUGACAUGCAUUUUGAAGACCAUGAGUUCGAGGUGGACGAGGAGGGUGAGGGCAUUGUCGAUGCACCGAAAGGAAGAGCGGGCAAUUACACCAACACCGAUGACAUCUUACUAUGCAAUACUUGGUUGCAAGUGUCGAGGGAUCCAUCCGUUGGAGGCGAUCAAAGUAGAGAUGCUUAUUGGAACCGGAUGAAGGGACACUUUGAUGCUCGCAACGUGAGUCGAAUUGACCGCUCCAACCGAUCACUUAGGUCCCGGUGGUCGACAAUCAACUCGGAUUGUCAAAAGUGGGCGGCUUGUCAAAAGGCGGUUGACAAG
rnacentral:rRNA from 1 species